rnacentral:rRNA from 1 species
UACGUAGGGGGCAAGCGUUGUCCGGAAUCAUUGGGCGUAAAGCGCGCGUAGGCGGCCCGGUAAGUCCGUUGUGAAAGUCAAAGGCUCAACCUUUGAACGCCGAUGGAUACUGCCGGGCUAGAGUCCGGAAGAGGCGAGUGGAAUUCCUGGUGUAGCGGUGGAAUGCGCAGAUAUCAGGAGGAACACCGGUGGCGAAGGCGGGUCUCUGGGCCGUAACUGACGCUGAGGAGCGAAAGCGUGGGGAGCGAACAGG